AGAGUUUGAUUAUGGCUCAGGAUGAACGCUGGCGGCGUGCCUAACACAUGCAAGUCGAGCGGGAAUAUUGGAAGAUAUUCGUAUCGGAAGAUAUCUAGCGGCGGACGGGUGAGUAACACGUGAGCAACCUACCUUUUUGCAGGGGAAUAACAGUGGGAAACCACUGCUAAUACCGCAUAACAUCACGAGGGGACAUCCUCUUGUGAUCAAAGGAGAAAUCCGGCAGAAGAUGGGCUCGCGUCCGAUUAGUUAGUUGGCGGGUAACGGCCCACCAAGACCGCGAUCGGUAGCCGAACUGAGAGGUUGAUCGGCCACAUUGGGACUGAGACACGGCCCAGACUCCUACGGGAGGCAGCAGUGGGGAAUAUUGGGCAAAUGGGGGAAACCCUGACCCAGCAACGCCGCGUGAAGGACGAAGGCCUUCGGGUUGUAAACUUCUUUGAUCAGGGACGAAACAAAUGACGGUACCUGAAGAACAAGCCACGGCUAACUACGUGCCAGCCGCGGC
rnacentral:rRNA from 1 species